rnacentral:rRNA from 1 species
ACACGACUCUCGGCAACGGAUAUCUCGGCUCUCGCAUCGAUGAAGAACGUAGCGAAAUGCGAUACCUGGUGUGAAUUGCAGAAUCCCGUGAACCAUCGAGUCUUUGAACGCAAGUUGCGCCCGAGGCCCUCCGGCCGAGGGCACGCCUGCCUGGGCGUC